rnacentral:rRNA from 1 species
AACGUAGGAGACAAACGUUAUCCGGAGUUACUGGGCGUAAAGGGCGUGUAGGCGGUUUGUUAAGUCUGGCGUGAAAGCUCUCGGCUAAACGGGAGAGGUCGUUGGAUACUGGCAAACUAGAGGAUGGUAGAGGCGUGUGGAAUUCCGGGUGUAGUGGGGAAAUGCGUAGAGAUCCGGAGGAACACCAGUGGCGAAGGCGACACGCUGGGCCAUACCUGACGCUAAAGCGCGACAGCAUGGGGAGCAAACGGG